AUCAGCGCUGUGGAACCACCCGAUCCCAUCCCGAACUCGGAAGUGAAACGCAGCUGCGCCGAUGGUAGUGUGGCUCAAGCCAUGCGAGAGUAGGUCAUC
rnacentral:rRNA from 1 species